GACGAACGCUGGCGGCGUGCCUAAUACAUGCCAGUAGAACGCACAGUUUAUACCGUAGCUUGCUACACCAUAGACUGUGAGUUGCGAACGGGUGAGUAACGCGUAGGUAACCUGCCUGGUAGCGGGGGAUAACUAUUGUAAACGAUAGCUAAUACCGCAUAAUAUUAAUUAUUGCAUGAUAAUUAAUUGAAAGGUGCAAUUGCACCACUACCAGAUGGACCUGCGUUGUAUUAGCUAGUAGGUGAGGUAACGGCUCACCUAGGCGACGAUACAUAGCCGACCUGAGAGGGUGAUCGGCCACACUGGGACUGGGACACGGCCCAGACUCCUACGGGAGGCAGCAGUAGGGAAUCUUUGGCAAUGGACGAAAGUCUGACCGAGCAACGCCGCGUGAGGGAAGAAGGUUUUCGGAUCGUAAAGCUCUGUUGUAAGAGAAGAACGGGUGUGAGAGUGGAAAGUUCACACUGUGACGGUAUCUUACCAGAAAGGGACGGCUAACUACGUG
rnacentral:rRNA from 1 species